UACGUAGGGGGCAAGCGUUGUCCGGAUUCAUUGGGCGUAAAGAGCGUGUAGGCGGCCAGGUAGGUCGGUUGUGAAAACUGGAGGCUCAACCUUCAGAGGUCGACCGAAACCAUCUGGCUAGAGUCCGGGAGAGGAGAGUGGAAUUCCUGGUGUAGCGGUGAAAUGCGCAGAUAUCAGGAAGAACACCCGUGGCGAAAGCGGCUCACUGGAACGGUACUGACGCUGAGACGCGAAAGCGUGGGGAGCGAACAGG
rnacentral:rRNA from 1 species